CUGUUUUUCCUCUUACUGGUUUUACAAAAAUUCAUCAGGUUUUUUUUUUUUUUUUACUUGCCUGAGCUUGACCUCACAUGCCACAUUCAUGCAUGUGGGAUAUCACAGUUGUCCUCUUUCUUUUGCUGUUGCCGUGAUAAGAUGCCCAGACAAAAGCAAAUUCAGGGAGAAAGGAUUUCUCAAGGCAUUGGGAGCUUGAAGCAGCUGGCCACAUUCUGUUCAUAGGAGGAAGAGGAGGGCAAUGAGUGUAUGCACACAACUGUUCAGCCUGCUUCCUUCCUGUUACUCUGUCCUGGAUCCCUACCUAGGGAACCUUAAUUAAUGUAAUCAAAACCAUCCCCCACCAUCACAAAAGAUAACCCUUCACAAGCAUGCGCAGGAACUAUCUCAGAGGUGAUUUUUAGGUUAUGUCACGUUUACAAAACUAUCACAACUAUAUUGGCUGUAGUUCGGACUCAACAUUUGGCCUUUAUAGACAGUACUCAGGCUGAGCUGGCAGAACAGACGCAGUGGCUCCAGAAACUCACCAAGGCCUCGAGUCUUUGAAAUUUGGGGGUGUGUGUGGUAUACACCUGUAAUCUCAGAUUUCUGAAAGCAGAAGCAUGAGGAUUACCCAUGAGCUUAAAGCCAGAUUGGUCUAUGUGAGCCUGGUCUACAUAGUGGUGGCCAGCUAGGACUGUAUAGUAAGACCUUAUCAACAACAGAAGGGACACUUCUGAGUAGGUCUUAGAUAUAAGGCAGGUGAGUUUGAUGCAGGUACAUGAGAAAUGAUGUAAGAAGAAGGUGAUGGGACCCACAACCUUUCAGUUAGAUUUGCUUGAUGUAGUCAUAACAUAUCUAUGUCCAAAGGAAGCAAAAAGAAGGGGCCGAGAGAGAUACUUGCAUAUCCAUUUUCAUAGCAUUAUUAGAAAUAGCAGAAAGUUAGAAGCCACCCAAAUAUCCAUGGAUGAAUGAGAGGUGUAUACAUUCAGUAAAAUAUUAGGCAUUUAGAGGGAAGGAAAUCGUGACACCAUCCACCAUGGGUGAACCUUGAAGGUACUAUGCUAAGUGAGGGCAGCUACAACUGAACAGAUGUUAUGUUAUUCACUCACUUAAGGAUCCUAGAAAAAGUUACUGUUACCAGCGUCUAGAGCAGAGGAAUUUAUACUUACAGAAUACAAAGUGUCAUUUGGGGAGGUCGAAGCAAUUCCAGCAGUGGAUGGUGAUGAUUGUCCAACACGAAUGUACUUAAUGCCCAAAGGACUAGCUACAUAAAGUGGUAAAUCUUCUUUUUCUCAACAAUAAACAUUUACGGUGACGAUG